CGAAGGGGGCUAGCGUUGUUCGGAAUCACUGGGCGUAAAGGGCGCGUAGGCGGCGCGACAAGUCAGGUGUGAAAGCCCCGGGCUCAACCCGGGAAUUGCACUUGAUACUGUCGUGCUUGAGGCCGGGAGAGGAUGGCGGAAUUCCCAGUGUAGAGGUGAAAUUCGUAGAUAUUGGGAAGAACACCGGUGGCGAAGGCGGCCAUCUGGACCGGUUCUGACGCUGAGGCGCGAAAGCGUGGGGAGCAAACAGGAUUAGAUACCCUGGUAGUCCACGCCGUAAACGAUGAGUGCUAGACGUCGGGGGGUUCACCUUCCGGUGUCGCAGCUAACGCUUUAAGCACUCCGCCUGGGGAGUACGGUCGCAAGAUUA
rnacentral:rRNA from 1 species